CUACGGUGCAAGCAUUAAAUGCGCAAAGUAACAACAUGAAGUUAACAGUAGUGUGUUUAAUCGUGGCAAUUCUGAUCUGCGCCGUCCAGUCCCGUCCAAAUGAUGAUGUCGACAAAGGAUAUUUAUUACGUCCAAUGGAAGAUGAUUAUUGGCAUUCGCUCCCUAUAAUGUGGGUCCCGUUAAAUGUGAUUAAAUUGCCUAGCCUUCUACCCUCACUACACAACAAGGAAACUAGAGUGAUGACAAGUAAAUGAUAAAUCAGUAAAGGAUUGUUUAUCCCAUUGAAUCCAAAAUAUUAACGCCGCCUACUAGAAACCCAACUACUGAUAUCCCAAAAGUCACUGAUGCAAUUGAUUCAAAUUUCUGCAAAGAGAAGUUAAUUAAUAUAAUAAACACAGCUGUAUGUAGUGGAGAGUGACAUGAGCCUCUCGUAGCUAUCUGUAGUAAAGCCACUGAUAUUGUAUAGUGUUUUUACAUAUUUUUUAGCCUAACAAAUAAUCGUUAGAAAACGAUAUUUACAGACUAGAAAAAUAUGUGAGAUACAAGUGGCAACUGCUCUUUUACCGUUGUUAUUCAAAAUAAUAAACGCAAAAUAAAAUACAA